CAGAAACUGCCAGUUGCUGCCAACUUGAAAACAAGCAGAGGCUCCCAAAGCCACAGCCACGCUGUGUGCAAAGCCUCAGUCUACCUACAGGUACUGAAUUAAGUCAUAUAAAACACACGCAGCAACAACAACAGAUGGGAUAGGAAGACAACCAAGCAGAUACAAGCAUUGUACCUGUUGAAUGCUGCCAGGUACAAGACUUUGGCAGCGGCCAUUGUUGGCUGCAGAGUAAAUCGUUGGGUUUGUUCAGUUUUGUUUGGUUUCUGUUUUGAAGAGAUCCCUUGCAGACACAGCAGCUCCUCAGUACAUGGCCUUUCUUUUUGUUACGCGGUGUUCCCGAACAAUGAGGCCCCGCGAGCUACAGCUCUGUAUCUCUUCAUCUGCUCUAUGUUUUGCUCAGUUCCGUAACCACAGCCAGUAUUUGG
rnacentral:lncRNA from 1 species